UGUCGCCGACACCGACGCCGACGCCGAGCCACCCGACGAUUCACCGGAGCAGUUUCAGCCAUCAUCGCCACCCUUCUCCAUAGAACUGUGUGAAGUCACCAGCCGAUCGUCAUCCACGCGAGCGCCGCGGACACUGAUCUACCACCGGCAGCCACCUCCUGUUCCCUAACCCAAUCCAGUGAGGCCAUUGCCCUUUCUUUUCCCUCUUUUCCACAGGACACCACAACCCAUAUCUCCGACGGUUGAUCGCAGACACCGGUUAUGGAAUAUCUGACGAUCUCUAUUUUUCGUCCAUAAGAAUAUCAAAGGUUGCAGCGGCCAUCUCCAUGACAGAAUUCCAGCCACCACAAUAGGACGAUCCCUCCUGGAAUGUGGAGGUCAGAUUUGCCACUGUAGGAGAGGAAGCCAAGCUAUCGUGCUAUAGAGUGGUCAGCUGCCUCACCUAGCUCAAUCCAUCACAAAUUUAGGGCUUCCGGCGGCCGGAUUGAGGCGGUGGCUAUAUUUGGAUUCGACCACAAAUUACGACAUAUUCCUUCGGCAAUGGACCAACAGGGGAGCAUCUGAAAUUUGGGGCUUUGAAUCGAGACGGCUUCUCGAUGUGGGAUCUAUUUCGGAUACGAUCUCCAUUUUUUUUAAG